UGCCGGGUAGACGAAUAGGCAAAGUCCCCUGUCUCUGAAACAGGAGUUAUGCAGGUUCAAGCCCUGCCCCGGCAGCUA
rnacentral:tRNA from 3 species